CAAUAGUGUACUCGAUAUGCAGCUCAUACAAUAAUUUCAAAUCACUGACAGAGAGCUUUAUGGUAUUUGGCAUUACAAGGAAGAAAGGCUUGAGAGUGGGCAAAUGAUCUGCUGCUGUAACAACGGGUGGUUGUUAUUCUGUUCAUUUCAGUGGAG
rnacentral:lncRNA from 11 species